rnacentral:rRNA from 1 species
CGGACGGGUGAGUAACGCGUAGGUAUCUAUCUUCGGGUGGGGGGACAACCGUGGGAAACUACGGCUAAUACCGCAUGACGAGUGAGGUUCAAAGGCGCCUGGGGUUACCUGGGGGCUGCCUGGAGCGGAGCCUGCGUACGAUUAGCUAGUUGGUGGGGUAAAGGCCUACCAAGGCGAUGAUCGUUAGCUGGUCUGAGAGGAUGAUCAGCCACAUUGGGACUGAGACACGGCCCAA